rnacentral:rRNA from 1 species
UGGGGAAUUUUGGACAAUGGGCGCAAGCCUGAUCCAGCCAUGCCGCGUGCGGGAAGAAGGCCUUCGGGUUGUAAACCGCUUUGUCAGGGAAGAAAUCUUCUGAGUUAAUACCUCGGGAGGAUGACGGUACCUGAAGAAUAAGCACCGGCUAACUACGUGCCAGCAGCCGCGGUAAUACGUAGGGUGCAAGCGUUAAUCGGAAUUACUGGGCGUAAAGCGUGCGCAGGCGGUUUUGUAAGACAGAGGUGAAAUCCCCGGGCUCAACCUGGGAACUGCCUUUGUGACUGCAAGGCUUGAGUGCGGCAGAGGGGGAUGGAAUUCCGCGUGUAGCAGUGAAAUGCGUAGAUAUGCGGAGGAAACACCGAUGGCGAAGGCAAUCCCCUGGGCCUGCACUGACGCUCAUGCACGAAAGCGUGGGGAGCAAACAGGAUUAGAUACCCUGGUAGUCCACGCCCUAAAACGAUGUCAACUGGUUGUUGGGAAGGUUCCUUCUCAGUAACGUAGCUAACGCGUGAAGUUGACCGCCUGGGGAGUACGGCCGCAAGGUUG